AUUGAACGCUGGCGGCAGGCCUAACACAUGCAAGUCGAACGGUAACAGGAAGCAGCUUGCUGCUUCGCUGACGAGUGGCGGCCGGGUGAGUAAUGUCUGGGAAACUGCCUGAUGGAGGGGGAUAACUACUGGAAACGGUAGCUAAUACCGCAUAACGUCGCAAGACCAAAGAGGGGGACCUUAGGGCCUCUUGCCAUCGGAUUUGCCCAGAUGGGAUUAGCUAGUAGGUGGGGUAACGGCUCACCUAGGCGACGAUCCCUAGCUGGUCUGAGAGGAUGACCAGCCACACUGGAACUGAGACACGGUCCAGACUCCUACGGGAGGCAGCAGUGGGGAAUAUUGCACAAUGGGCGCAAGCCUGAUGCAGCCAUGCCGCGUGUAUGAAGAAGGCCUUCGGGUUGUAAAGUACUUUCAGCGGGGAGGAAGGGAGUAAAGUUAAUACCUUUGCUCAUUGACGUUACCCGCAGAAGAAGCACCGGCUAACUCCGUG
rnacentral:rRNA from 1 species